rnacentral:rRNA from 1 species
CUACGGGUCGCUGCAGUGGGGAAUAUUGCACAAUGGGCGAAAGCCUGAUGCAGCAACGCCGCGUGAGGGACGAAGGCCUUCGGGUUGUAAACCUCUUUUAGCAGGGAAGAAGCGAAAGUGACAGUACCUGCAGAAAAAGCACCGGCUAGACUACGUGCCAGCAGCCGCGGUAAUACGUAGGGUGCAAGCGUUGUCCGGAAUUAUUGGGCGUAAAGAGCUCGUAGGCGGUUUGUCACGUCUGCUGUGAAAAUCCGAGGCUCAACCUCGGACUUGCAGUGGGUACGGGCAGGCUAGAGUGCGGUAGGGGAGAAGGGAAUUCCUGGUGUAGCGGUGGAAUGCGCAGAUAUCAGGAGGAACACCAAUGGCGAAGGCACUUCUCUGGGCCGUAACUGACGCUGAGGAGCGAAAGCGUGGGGAGCGAACAGGAUUAGAUACCCGAGUAGUC